ensembl:snoRNA
AUCCUUUUGUAGUUCGUGGGCAUGGGGUUUGGAUGUUCACGCACAUGUGUGAAAUGUGCCACCCACUGAACCUUGUUACAAUCUCAGCACAUUACCCGUCUAACC